rnacentral:lncRNA from 1 species
CAACCCGUUCCACUGUCAAAUAUAUUUUUUGUUGACAAAUUUAUUGGAUUAGAAAAAUAUAAUUUUGGCCAUACAACGUCAACAAAAAUCCAAUGUUUUUCCAAAAUUGUACUCAAAACAUGUUGAGAAAUGUUUGAAAUGUAAAAAAAGAAGGCUGUAUUGUAGGUGGUGGAUUCUUGGUAACGGUUUAUUUUAGAGAAAAUUUCAAAAGAAGUUAUCGAGGUAUCCUUGUAAGACACUACUCAUGAGGUCUGUAUCUAAGAAGGACAUAGAUAUGAAUUACUCUGAUGUCGAUCCUCAGUUCUACUCUGAGUUCAAAAGCAACUUACACCUAUAACUUCCCAACAGUAUCUCAAUGUUACUCUCUGUUAUUCAUAAGGACACAAACUAUUUAGGAGUUUAAGCUCAGUUCAGGCUGCAACAACAAAAAAUAAUGCACACGCUCUAGGUUAUAUUUUACACAACUCAAGUUAUACUGCCUCUGUAAAAAAUGAAUCCAACAGAUAGGGAUUGGUUAAUAUUGUGUACAGGCCCUAGACUUUUUAGUAACACCAUUUUGCAAUGUAUAUGAUCAUAUGGAGAUCAAUAGAGGACCUCUACCACCCAAUGCUAGUAGUCAUGAUAGUCUAAUUUACUAUGGGCGUCAGUAUUCUAUGACCAAUAGGGCGAAUAAAUAUCGUAAGCCUUCUGGGUGGGGACCACUGUUGUCGAGUAUUAGUUCAAUUUUGAAGACCAACAAUUUAUAAAUUACCUAAAUAAUUAACGAUUAAACAUGUAUGUGGAUUUUGUAAAGGUUGUAUGGAUGUGAAAUUUACUUUAGCUAUUUUGUCAAUUGAA